rnacentral:rRNA from 1 species
GAUCAUGGCUCAGGAUGAACGCUAGCGACAGGCUUAACACAUGCAAGUCGAGGGGCAGCAUGAAAGUAGCAAUACGUUGGUGGCGACCGGCGCACGGGUGAGUAACGCGUAUGCAACCUACCUAUCAGAGGGGAAUAACCCGGCGAAAGUCGGACUAAUACCGCAUAAAACAGGGGCACCGCAUGGUGAUAUUUGUUAAAGAAAUUCGCUGAUAGAUGGGCAUGCGUUCCAUUAGGUAGUUGGUGAGGUAACGGCUCACCAAGCCGACGAUGGAUAGGGGAACUGAGAGGUUGGUCCCCCACACUGGUACUGAGACACGGACCAGACUCCUACGGGAGGCAGCAGUGAGGAAUAUUGGUCAAUGGGCGGGAGCCUGAACCAGCCAAGUCGCGUGAAGGAAGAAGGAUCUAUGGUUCGUAAACUUCUUUGCAGGGGAAUAAAGUGCAGGACGUGUCCUGUUUUGUAUGUACCCUGAGAAUAAGGAUCGGCUAACUCCGUGCCAGCAGCCGC